AGCAGCCGCGGUAAUUCCAGCUCCAAUAGCGUAUAUUAAAGUUGUUGCAGUUAAAAAGCUCGUAGUUGAAUUUCGGGGUUAGUAGGUUGGUCAUGCCUCUGGUGUGUACUGGUCUCACUGAUUCCUCCUUCCUGAUGAACCUUAAUGCCAUUAAUUUGGUGUUUUGGGGAAUUUGGACUGUUACUUUGAAAAAAUUAGAGUGUUUAAAGCAAGCUAACGCUUGAAUACAUUAGCAUGGAAUAAUGAAAUAGGACGUUCGAUCCUAUUUUGUUGGUUUCUAGGAUUGACGUAAUGAUUAAUAGGGAUAGUUGGGGGCAUUAGUAUUCAAUUGUCAGAGGUGAAAUUCUUGGAUUUAUUGAAGACUAACUACUGCGAAAGCAUUUGCCAAGGAUGUUUUCAUUAAUCAAGAACGAAAGUUAGGGGAUCGAAGACGAUCAGAUACCGUCGUAGUCUUAACCAUAAACUAUGCCGACUAGGGAUCGGAUGAUGUUAAUUUUUUAAUGACUCAUUCGGCGCCUUACG
rnacentral:rRNA from 1 species